CGGACACGUGUGCGCAUUCAGAUGGCAGCCAUGGUUGGCGGCUCCUUUGUCGCAUGUGCUGCGGCCCUCACCUUUUCUGCAUCCGUCGUCAUCAGGGUACAGGCGCGGUGCAGGGCUACUUCGAGUCCAGGUGGGCAUCGAGGCCAGGUGAGUGGCCCCAUAACGUGGAAGGGAUGAUCGAGUUCUUCUAGAAGAUGUCCUGGUAAGUCAGUUGUGAAAGAAAGGUGGCCUCUUCCAGAGAGCCUUACUCUUCAGCCAGAACAGAGGUUAUCUGGGGCCUCUGAAGCCAAACUCCGUCGUAUCUUGAAUUCACAUUCAGGACUAAUCUCCCAAGAGUUCUCAAGGGAAGGAGAGACUGCGAUGUGGACUGUGGGUUGUACAGGGUUUUCGUAAUGCACUUAGCAAGCCUCCAGCGUGCUUGGGUCUGCCGUGACCCUGUGCAUUCCUACAGUGCUUGCCAAAACAAUUGUGAAGUGGUUUGAGGCCUUGCCCUGCUCUCUCCAGAGCAAGGUUAUAGAAAUUUCAGACAGUACGACAGAUACCUGGCGCCUGGGUAAGUCACAAGGGAGUAGAGUUUGUUUCUGUGGUCCAGAGUUAAUGCAAACUAUUAAGUCCUUAAAACAAUUACAAAAUACAGCAUGAGUUCAAGUAAAACUCGAGGUGUGGUCACAUGGUGUUUGCUCCAGGUGGGCCCUGGGCCUGGUUCUUAGCAAGCAAGAAAACCAGGAUCGGAGAGACCCAAGAUGGUAGAAGCCUGGCCCGUGUGCCAAUAGCUAAGGAAGGCGUCCCUGUAGCGGAAGGCAUUGGUGUUGGGAGGUAUUUUUUGGCAUUAAGACAACCAGUUAGGUGAGGGUGACCUUGAACUCCCAAUCCUUAAGCAUGGACCUUCGUGCUUUACCUUGGGUAUGUUUCGUGCCAGGGUCUCUGGCCCUUUGAACUCAGAUCUGCCUGUCAUUUCCUCCCAAGUGCUGGGGUGAAGAGUGCCACCACACCAGGCCCCCAUUUCAAAUCUUAUGUAUAUGAGCACUCUGUCCUAUUCAGACACACCAGGAGAGGGCAUCGGAUCCCAUUACGCUGCUUGUGAGCAACCACGUGGUUGCUGAGUUGAGCUUGAGACCUCUGGAAGAGCAGUCAGUGCUGAGCCAUCACUCCAGCCCCUUAACUCAAACCUUUAUUCUGUUUUGUGUGCAUGUCCCUGUGUGUGGGCCCGUGGAUAGCAUAGAUCAUAGCGGUCAGAGAAGAAUUGCAGGAAUUGGUUUUCUUUCCCACCAUGUGGGUCCUGGAGACUAAACUCGGGUGGUUGUAAGGCAGGGCAGCAAGUGCUUUUCUCUGCUGAGGCUGUCGUUGACACACGUUACUGUGUGAAGUGGUUGUUUGUCCAGGGGUUGUGAGGUUGAAAUUUGAUAGCAGGCAUCUCCCAUGCUGUUUUCUCAAGGGCCAGUCGUGGCUGAGUUGUGCUAAAGGGAAGUGUCCUGCUCUUAGCUGUGGGGUGUAAGGUCUGUGGACGGUUGGCAGCUUAGUGUUAUGUGUUUGGCUCACCGACGCUUCCUUCCGUCUAGGAAACCUAAGUUGCUGGAGCUCGAAGUGACUUGAUGGCACUUCAGAACCAUCGGGCUGUUUCAUGGAACUUCCACUGAAGCGGUGCGGAAAUGGAGACUGAAAUGAGACUCCAGCUGUGUUGAUCGCUUUUGAAGCCUCCUUGGCCUUUAACAAAGCAAUCCGUAGUUUCUGGUUCCUGGCCUAAGCUUGAUUCUAUCUAUGUGUUUGUCCUCCUCCCAGACUCCUUCAGAUUUUGAAUAAGGAACCCAGCUGUGCCUAUUGUCUGACAUCUGAAUAGAAUGAACCGCAGCCAUUGUAGCCAGCUAGAGGAAAACACAUCUGCUAAUCAGUGCUUCUGGACACUAGAUCAGGCCAGACUGGGCUUCGAAAGUCCCAGUCUCAAAUAAAUGUGAUUUUAUAUAUAAUUGUCUUAGCCUGUUUUCUUUCCAC
ensembl:lncRNA LOC102547700 uncharacterized LOC102547700